UCCUAGUGGCGGCGGCGACAGCAAUGCCUCUCCACCCUAGGCAGCAUGCCUUCCACACGACAUGGGCAGACGCAAUGACCGAGGCUACUACUCCACUCUUUCAAAUACGGUCAUGUAUCUCUUUUCCAUGGAUGUGCAACGCAUACAAACUCAUAUGCUCUCCCUGAUUCACUAUUCCAGUCAAGAAAACAAUCGGUCUGUUCAAUUUCGGGGGGCGUUGGUCCUCAUCACCUUCCUUUUCCAUCAUGUGGUGGUGUCAUUCAUUGAUCUGGUGCCCUGUAUUGCUGUAGAUUAAGAGGGUGACAGUGUAUUUGCGUGUGGCGUCUGCUAGUGAUGUUUGGAGGUCGUGCAUAUACUAGCGUGGAGUUGUUUCUUGUGAUAUUUCUACUACUCGCGCAAACUGACAAACUAGUGAUCGUGUGUGUGCUUGUGUGGUACUGCACGAUUUUUCUGGUUGGCAUAGAUCGUGGCCUGAUUCUUGGGAUCUUCGAUGCAUAAUAUUCCGUUGUUCCUCUUUGGAUUGUUGUCGUGGACGUCUCCCUCGGCUCUAGCAGCUGCUUUGUAUCUCCAUCAAUCUCCUACCGAUUAGGCUCAGACGUGAGUGAUAUAAUUGGUUUCUAUGAUAGAACUUCAUGUUCGCUAAGCUUGGCUUCCCAUAUAGACAAUUUACAUGUUGUGAGUUAUAUGUUGCCCCUCUCGGUUUAUAGUAUAUAUAUUUGUGCAAUCUACUAGUUUCAAAAAAUGGGUAUGAUUGCACAUUUG
rnacentral:lncRNA from 1 species